rnacentral:rRNA from 1 species
GGGGGGGGCGUGGGGGGGGGGGGGGGGGGGCGGGGCGGGCGGGGGGGCCCGGCGGGGGGGGGGGGCGCGAGGGGCGAACGGGGGAGUAGCACGUGAGUAACCUGCCCUUGACGUUGGGAUAGCGUCAGGAAACUGGGGCUAAUACCGGAUAGGAGCUCCUGCUGCAUGGUGGGGGUUGGAAAGUGUCGGCGGUUGGGGAUGGACUCGCGGCUUAUCAGCUUGUUGGUGGGGUAGUGGCUUACCAAGGCUUUGACGGGUAGCCGGCCUGAGAGGGUGACCGGCCACAUUGGGACUGAGAUACGGCCCAGACUCCUACGGGAGGCAGCAGUGGGGAAUAUUGCACAAUGGGCGGAAGCCUGAUGCAGCAACGCCGCGUGCGGGAUGACGGCCUUCGGGUUGUAAACCGCUUUCGCCUGUGACGAAGCGUGAGUGACGGUAAUGGGUAAAGAAGCACCGGCUAACUACGUG